rnacentral:rRNA from 1 species
AAUGGGCGCAGCCUGAUGCAGCGACGCCGCGUGAGGGAUGGAGGCCUUCGGGUUGUAAACCUCUUUUAUCGGGGAGCAAGCGAGAGUGAGUUUACCCGUUGAAUAAGCACCGGCUAACUACGUGCCAGCAGCCGCGGUAAUACGUAGGGUGCAAGCGUUAUCCGGAAUUAUUGGGCGUAAAGGGCUCGUAGGCGGUUCGUCGCGUCCGGUGUGAAAGUCCAUCGCUUAACGGUGGAUCCGCGCCGGGUACGGGCGGGCUUGAGUGCGGUAGGGGAGACUGGAAUUCCCGGUGUAACGGUGGAAUGUGUAGAUAUCGGGAAGAACACCAAUGGCGAAGGCAGGUCUCUGGGCCGUUACUGACGCUGAGGAGCGAAAGCGUGGGGAGCGAACAGGAUUAGAUACCCUGGUAGUCCAAGGGCGAAUUC